AGCCAAUCAGAGACCAGCAGCUGGGAUCGGCUUCACAAUGGCAUCGGAGGCAUUAGCUGUUGUUGGAAAUGUACCCUUCUGAGAAAAGCAAGGUCCAGAACUAAGGCCAGACAUCUGAGUGACUUUAUGCUAUAAAGCUGCUGCGAUGGCUAAGAUGCUGAUUUGGAGUUUCUCAUUGGCUGUUCGCUCAACUGCGACAUCUAGGAAUGGCAGUUUGACAUU